CUGCAUUUCAGACUCAUCGUGGCCAUUUUGAGUUUAAAGUGAUGGCAUUUGGCCUUUGUGGAGCACCAGGUAUAUUUCAAGGGGACAUGAACAACACAUUGGCACCAUUAUUGAGGAAGUGUGUGCUGGUUUUCUUUGAUGAUAUAUUGGUGUACAACAAUUCCUACGAGGAACAUGUUGAGCACUUGAGAGCUGUCUUGCAGUUGUUGGCACAAGAUCACUGGCAAGUUAAGUUAUCUAAAUGCUCCUUAACCCAAAGGAAGAUCCAGUACUUGGGCCAUAUCAUUAGUCAAGGCUGUGUUGCAACUGAUCCAAGUAAAGUGAAAGCUGUUUCUCAAUGGCCUACUCCAACCAAUGUUAAAGAGUUGAGGAGUUUUUUGGGCCUAGCCGGGUACUACAGAAAGUUUGUGAGAUUCUUUGCUAUUCUGGCAAGACCCCUCACUGAGUUGCUUAAGAAGAAUGUUGUGUUUGUGUGGACAUCAGAACAAGCAGUAGCUUUUCAAGAGCUCAAGUCAGCCUUGUGUUCUGCCCUUGUGCUAGCCAUGCCUGACUUUUCUCUUCCUUUUGCUAUUGAGACAGAUGCAUGUGUUGUGGGCGUUGGUGCAGUUCUGAUGCAAGCUGGGCACCCAUUAGCUUAUAUUAGUAAGGCCUUAGGCCAAAAACACAAGGAUUAUCAACUUAUGAAAAAGAAUAUCUUGCUAUUCUCAUUGAUGUUGACCAAUGGAGGCAUUAUCUUCAGCUUGCUGAGUUUCACAUCUUCACUGAUCAAAAGAGUCUGAACCACUUGAAUGAGCAAAGGUUACAUACCUACUGGCAGCAGAAGGUUUUCUCCAAAUUGCUAGGAUUUCAAUAUAAAAUUAUAUACAAGGCCGGUGCUGACAACAGGGUGGCUGAUGCCUUAUCUCGGCAGCCACAUUCCACAUCUGCUGAAAUUAAUACUAUGGCUACUGUUGUUCCUGCUUGGCUGGAGGAAGUGAUCCAAGGAUAUGUACAUGAUGACAAUUCUCAGAACCUAAUCACUCAGCUUCUUGUUGAUGCUGAUGCUGUCCCGGGCUUCACUUUGAGAGAUGGUGUUAUGCGUUAUCAUAAUUGUAUUUGGUUGGGCUCCAAUCAUCAGUUGCAACACAAGAUCUUUUCAGCUUUGCACAAUUCACCUAUUGGAGGUUACUCGGGAGUACCAGUCACUCUAGGUCGACUUAAACAGUACUUUGCCUGGCCGGCCAUGAAAAUAUCUGUUCAGACAUUUGUUUCAGCUUGUAGUGUCUGCAGUGAAGCAAAACCUGACCGAGCCAAGGACCCUGGUCUUCUUCAACCAGUGCAAAUACCAUCAUCUGCCUGGCAUAUUAUUUCAAUGGACUUCAUCGAGGGACUUCUGUCUUCUGGAGGAUUUAAUGCCAUUUUAGUGGUGGUGGACAAAUUUACGAAGUAUGGACAUUUCUUAGCUCUCAAACACCCUUUUACUGCACUAUCUGUUGCUAAGUUGUUUCUGGCUCAUGUCUAUAAGCUGCACGGGUUGCCGCAGUCUAUCAUCUCUGACCGCGACAGGAUCUUCUUGAGUCGCUUAUGGCGAGAAUUAUUUACGUUGGCCGGUGUCCAAUUGUGCAUGAGCUUAGCGUACCAUCCGCAAUCUGACGGCCAAACUGAACGCGUCAAUCAAUGCUUGGAAAUAUUUUUGAAGUGUUUCAUUCAUGCGUGUCCGUCAUAGUGGAAUCAGUGGCUCUCUCUUGCUGAGUAUUGGUAUAAUACUAGCCUGCAUUCUGCCUUGGACCGAUCUCCCUCUGAAGCUCUGUAUGGUUAUAAGCCACGCUGCUUUGGUCUUGAUGCUGUACCGACUCCUAUGACUUCUGAAUUGGGACCAUGGUUGGAGUAUCGUUCAGUAAUGGAUCGUCUGAUACAACAACAUUUACUUCGCGCUCAGCGUCGCAUGAAGAAUCAAGCCGACAAGCAUCGUUCUGAACGGUCAUUUGAAGUGGGCGAUUGGGUUUUCCUUAAGUUACAACCGUACGAGCAGUCGUCGCUUGCUCCUCGUGCCAACCAAAAACUGGCGUUCAAGUUCUUUGGGCCUUAUCAGAUUGCUGCCAAAGUUGAUUCUGUUGCUUACAAGUUGUCCUUGCCAGCGUCUGCGCAUAUUCAUCCGGUGUUCCAUGUGUCCCUUCUCAAGAAAGCUCAUUGCUCGUGGCCCUGAUACUGUGGAACAGGUGCUAAUCAAGUGGUCUGGUAUGUCCACUGAGCUUGCAACUUGGGAAGAUUUUCAAGCAGUCAAGCAGUCUUUUCCCAGGCCCCUACUUGGGUCAAGCAGGCUCUUAUGAGGGGGGAAUGUUACGGCAUCGACUUCGGCUGCUGCGCCGACCACUGAUGAAGUGAUUGACGUGGAUCGUCCAAGAGCUCGUCGGCCAAACAGGAGGGUCAUCAGCCCAGAGUGGGCCCAGCCCAAGUGGCGUGCGUGUGUAACCUGCCUGCGAGCAGGAUAAGAGAUGAGAGGAUGAGAGGAGACGACGUCGUGUAUGAACAAGCUACUCCUUGCCUAAGUUAACCUGAUCUCGUUGGUCGAAAUCCGUCUGAUCUCAUCCCAAUUCUUGCUCCUCUACCUGAAUUCAUUCUCUACUUCUAUCCCCAUUACCUUGCUGCUAACACCUCGCCGGCCGCGAUGUGGACGUGAAGGGUCUCGAGGGACGGCGCCAUCUCCAGGAGAAGACGAGGCCACGUGGCGUCCCAAGAUGACUGCACGUCCGCCAUCUCCAGGGAGCGCCGCCGGCGAUGCUGGCGAGCAUUUGGAGCUGGAGCAGGUUAGGCUGAAAUUACUUGAGCAAGCUUCGGAGAGGCCAAGGCUGAAAUGCACAACUUUGUAGGCGUUGAGGUUCUAUUUUAUACCGCUCAUGAAUUGGCUCCUACUGGUUUGAGUUGGGGCACAGAGCACACAAAUUUUUGUGCUGAUCCUCUUCCAGAUCUUAUAAACUCUUUGGACGGUUGAUGCAUGAUUUUGUAAGCUCCAGUUCUCCUUGCUCCACAGUAGGCAUGUUCGCUCCCUUCCUGCUCGCACAACCACCCCUAUCGACCAUCCAAGCAGCUCUUGCAGUCCACGAAAGGAACAGGGUAAAAAAACAUUGCAGGACAGGCAAUGUCCUGCAAUGGAGGGAGGUUCACAUGGAGCAAUAAUCAGGAAGAACCUACUCUAGAGAGGCUUGAUAGAGUGUUAGAGUGAAGACUGGGAGAAUGACUUCCCCCUUACUACUUUGAGGAAAAUUCCUAGGUUUAUGUCAGAUCACAACCCUCUGUUGUUGUGCUCUGGACAAGAACCUGAGAGGAAAAAAAGGACCUUUUUGUUUUGAAACUGCUUGGUUGAGACAUGAGGAUUUUUUGCCUAAGGUGGCUGAAAUUUGGGGAGAAGUUGUAAGAGCUAGGGAUACAACUGAAGUGUGGAAUAUAAAAAUUAAAAGAGUGAAGAAAUUUCUAAAAGGUUGGGGUAUGAGUUUGAAGGGACACACAAAAAAGUACAAAAACAUCUUGCAAGAAGAGCUCCUGCUGAUAGAAAAAAGGGAAGAAGGUGGGAUACUACCAGCCCAUAUCUUAGAAAAGAAAACCUUUAUCCAGACUGAGUUGUUGAGGUUACUAGCUGAGGAGGAGCUUUAUUGGCACAAUAAGUGGUUGCUGGAGGGUGACAAUAAUACAGGCUUUUUUCAUAGAAUUGCCAAUGGGAAAAAGAGGAAGAAUACCAUUUUCAGUUUUGAACAUGAUGAUGAUGCGAUUAAAGAAAGUGACCAGCUGCUGGAGCAUGAUACUCAGUAUUACAAAUCCCUCUUUGGUUCCUCUGAAAACUCAGCGAUUGAGUUGGACCCCAGCUGUUGUGAUGAACAUGAAUAAAAUCUCUGAGGAUGAUACUGCCACUCUGACAGCACCUUUCUCUGAAGAAGAGGUUAAAAGAGCUGUGUUUGAUAUGAAAAAGAAUACUGCCCCAGGGCCUGAUCAUAUGCCUAUUGAGUUUUUCCAAAGUUGCUGGGAGAUUGUUAAACCUGAGCUUUUGUCAAUGUUCAUGAAGUUUUUUCAUUAUAAGCUAGAAAUGAACAGAAUCAAUUAUGGGACCAUUACCCUGCUCCCAAAGAUAAAAGAUGCAAACAAGAUUCAGCAGUACAGGCCUAUAUACCUACUCAAUGUGGUUUACAAGAUUUUCACCAAAGUGUUGAUGUUGAGACUAGAGGCAAUUCUGGGAAAAAUAAUCAACAGAUCUCAAAAUGCCUUUAUUAAAGGAAGAAAUAUCAUGGAUGGGAUUAUGAGUCUCCACGAAAUUCUACAUGAUACUAAGGUCAGGAAAAAAAUGUGCUGGUCUUGAAGCUGGAUUUUGAAAAAGCUUAUGAUAAGAUAAAGGUUUUCUUUUCUAAGAUAUGGGCUGGUAGUAUCCCGUCUUCUUCCCUUUUUUCUAUCAGCAGGAGCUUUUCUUGCAAGAUGUUUUUGUAAUUUUUUGUACGUCCCUUCAAACUCAUACCCAACCUUUUAGAAAUUUCUUCACUCUUUUAAUUUUUAUAUUCCACACUUCAGUUGUAUCCCUAGCUCUUACAACUUCUCCCCAAAUUUCAGCCACCUUAGGCAAAAAAUCUUGUGUGAUUGGAGCUUCUUAAGAAAGUGCUUUGAAUAAAGAGGUUUCAACAAGAAGUGGUGUGAUUGGAUUUGGGAGGUCAUGACCAGUGGUACUCUUUGUGUGAGAGUUAAUGAUAAUUUUGGUAGAUACUUCAUGUGUGGCAAGGGAGUGAGGCAGGGGGACCCUCUCUCCCCCUUGCUAUUUAACAUGGCUGCUGAUGUACUAGCCAAGAUGAUAAAUAGGGCACAAUCAAAUCAGCUUAUCACAGGUUUAGUUGAGGAAUAUGUGGAUUAUGGGGUUGCUGUAUUACAAUAUGCUGAUGAUACUAUUCUUUGUUUGAAAGAUAAUGAGGUUGCUAGAAAUACUAAAUUGUUGCUCUACCUCUAUGAACAAAUGUCUGGCCUCAAAAUAAACUUUGACAAAGGUGAGGUGGUGACGGUGAUAAGAGGAUGACCAGAAGGGCCUACUUUACUCUGAAAUGUUCAACUGUGCUACAGGAAAAUGGCCAAUAAAGUACCUUGGAGUACCAGUAGCUGGGUCAAAAUUACAUGUGGUGGAUUGGAGAAAAUUAGAUGAGAAAAUUAUGAAAGGAUUGGAUGGAUGGAAAGGAAAUAUUCUGUCAAUUGGUGGGAGAACUACUUUGAUUAACCCCCGUCUCAGUAGUAUUCCAGUUUAUGCUAUGUCUAUGUAUCUCAUCCCCAAAACUGUGGUCAAAAGUAUGGACAGAACAAGAAAGAGGUUCUUUUGGCAGGAAGGGGGGACAAAAAAGAAAUAUCAUCUUAUCAAGUGGGAUAAGAUUUGUGUGCCCAAGAAGAAGGGAGGAUUGGGAAUCAAAGAUUUGAGGAAAUUAAACCUCAGUCUUCUGUGCAAGUGGUGGUGGAAGUUGGAGAGGGGUGAAGGCAUGUGGCAGGAGAUAGUUAGGAAAAAAUAUGUCAAAAGUCUCUGCCUGCAACAACUUCAGAAAAAACCCUCUAAGUCAUCUGUAUGGAAUGACCUCCUCAAAGCAAAAGAUCUCUAUUUGAAAAGGGAGACUCAUGGUAGUGGGGGACGGCAAAGCUACUGAUUUCUGGAGGGAUGCGUGGUGUGGCAGUAUUUCUCUGAAGGAAAAGUUUUCUGGUCUUUUCUCUAUGUGCACUGAACCCUCCAUUACAGUUUCAACAAUGGCUCGGAGUGGGUGGCGACUAUCCUUUAGGAGAUGGCUUGAUGUACAAAAUCAGGAACAAUAUAGGCAAUAGAGAGGGAUGGUCUCCUCUUUUGCUCUAUCUAUGAACAAAGAUAUACCCAAAUUGUGUUCGGAUGGGAGAGAGCUGCAGCCGGAAGGAGAUAGACAGAAGCUGGAGGACGGAGCGGCGCUCAAAGAGGCAGCCCUACACUUUCACCCGCAUGAGGCUCAAGCUGGCGAUACUGGGGUGGUGCUUCUUCACUGAAUCUGCGGGGGUGGAACUCGCUACUUCUUCUGUCUGCACUUGUGCUCGCUUUGGUGAUCAUUUUGCAUGGUGGUUCUGGGUUUCUGUGGUACUGCUUUUUCUUUUUGUUUGUGCGGAUGGUUAAACUCUAUGGCACUAAAAACCGUGUAACUUCGUUGCUUUUGAAGUAAUGAAAUUCAGGCAUGGCCCAUGUUGGAAAAAGGACAGGCAAUGUCACCUUUC